rnacentral:rRNA from 1 species
AAUAGAUACCCGGGUAGUCCACCCCGUAAACGUUGGGAACUAGUUGUGGGUCCUUUCCACGGAUUCCGUGACGCAGCUAACGCAUUAAGUUCCCCGCCUGGGGAGUACGGCCGCAAGGCUAAAACUCAAAGGAAUUGACGGGGACCCGCACAAGCGGCGGAGCAUGCGGAUUAAUUCGAUGCAACGCGAAGAACCUUACCAAGGCUUGACAUACACCAGAACACCCUAGAAAUAGGGGACUCUUUGGACACUGGUGAACAGGUGGUGCAUGGUUGUCGUCAGCUCGUGCCGUGAGAUGUUGGGUUAAGUCCCGCAACGAGCGCAACCCUCGUUCUAUGUUGCCAGCACGUAAUGGUGGGAACUCAUGGGAUACUGCCGGGGUCAACUCGGAGGAAGGUGGGGAUGACGUCGAAAUCAUCAUGCCCCUUAUGUCUUGGGCUUCACGCAUGCUACAAUGGCCGGUACAAAGGGCUGCAAUACCGUGAGGUGGAGCGAAUCCCAAAAAGCCGGUCCCAGUUCGGAUUGAGGUCUGCAACUCGACCUCA